rnacentral:rRNA from 1 species
UGGGGAAUAUUGGACAAUGGGCGCAAGCCUGAUCCAGCCAUGCCGCGUGGAUGAAGAAGGCCCUAGGGUUGUAAAGUCCUUUCGACGGAGACGAUAAUGACGGUAUCCGUAGAAGAAGCCCCGGCUAAUUUCGUGCCAGCAGCCGCGGUAAUACGAAAGGGGCUAGCGUUGUUCGGAAUUACUGGGCGUAAAGCGCACGUAGGCGGUCGUGUAAGAUGGGGGUGAAAUCCCGGAGCUCAACUCCGGAACUGCCUUCAUGACUGCAUGGCUAGAGGAUGCGAGAGGUUGGCGGAAUUCCGAGUGUAGAGGUGAAAUGCGUAGAUAUCGGGAGGAACACCUGUGGCGAAGGCGGCCACCUGGUUGGAUACUGACGCUGAGACGCGAAAGCGUGGGGAGCAAACAGGAUUAGAUACCCCUGUAGUCCCUGAGCGGGCUGGCAAGGCGCAU